rnacentral:rRNA from 1 species
CAUNNCAAGUAUUAGAGGCACUGCCUGCCCAGUGACAUUAGUUUAACGGCCGCGGUAUCCUGACCGUGCAAAGGUAGCAUAAUCAUUUGUUCCUUAAUUAGGGACUUGUAUGAAUGGCCCCACGAGGGUUUGACUGUCUCUUACUUUUAAUCAGUGAAAUUGACCUUCCCGUGAAGAGGCGGGAAUAAAAUAAUAAGACGAGAAGACCCUAUGGAGCUUUAAUUAAUUUGUCUAUUAUACUUAAAAUUCAACUCAACAGAAACAAAAUUACGUUAACUAGACAAUAAAUUUUGGUUGGGGUGACCUCGGAGAAUAGCUCAACCUCCGAGCGACUAAAACUAAGACUAACCCGUCAAAGUGGUUUUUAAUAUUGAUCCAAUCAUAUUGAUCAACGGAACAAGUUACCCUAGGGAUAACAGCGCAAUCCUAUUUAAGAGUCCAUAUCGACAAUAGGGUUUACGACCUCGAUGUUGGAUCAGGACACCCAGAUGGUGCAGAAGCUAUUAAAGGUUCGUUUGUUCAACG